GCUGGGUGUGGUGGUGCACACUUGUAAUCCCAGCUACUCAGGAGACUGAGGCAGGAGAAUUGCUUGAACCCAGGAGGUGGAGGUGGCAGUGAGCUGAGAUCACACCACUGCACUCCACCCUGGGUGAUAGAGUGAGACUCUGUCUCAA
ensembl:misc_RNA Metazoa_SRP Metazoan signal recognition particle RNA